AGUGAGUGAGAGUGUGUCGGUCAGUGUUAUGAUGGCCGUGGCUGGACAGUCAAGGACCUGGAGGUGCACGGGGGCACGUAACGCCACAUCUCGUGACGUCGAUGUGCUCCACCUUCACAGGGUUUCAAGAAGUAGCGGGAGGAUUCGCUUUGGCACAGGGUGCGAUCGGCGCCAUUUGGUUUAUACCAGCCUGAUUCCGGGGUCGCAUACUGGCAGUGCCAAUGUGAGUGGAAUCUAUUUGGCUAGAGGGGCGUGCUGGGAUUUAGUAUACGGGGAGGACUGGGAUUUAGUAGAGAGGGUGCUAUGAUUUCAUAGAGAGAGAUGCAGUAUUUUGGGGUAUUUUUAUGCUGUACUUUUCAAAAUAAAUCUAGAAAAAGUGCAAAGACGAGCUACAAAAUUUAUAAAAGGAAUGGAGCAUUUUAGUUACAAAG